AUGGAAGGGCCAGAAAGAGAAGUUUCUUGGAGAAGAAAUUGGAAAGGGCAGGGAAGCUGGAUGAACACACUUGGUGGCCAGCACUCUCACUUCCACCAGAGUCUCCCGCUGGCAUCUAUUUUAUGCAUGAGAAUUCUGCAUACUUUUAUAUUUGUAGAGGAAUUUGGAAACAAUUGCACUAAUUUGUCCAAACAUCCUGUUUUCUAUGAGUUUGUAGUCUCAUCAGUAUGGCAAAACCCACUAUUCAAAAACACUAAAAAAUGGCAAUAAAUAUUUCGAUAUGAGUGAAAUAAGAUCCUUGUGUAGCUGGAAGAUGUUGGUGAGGGUGCUUGAUAAAGAAAGAUGGAAGGAAGUGAGACUUGACUCAGGUCCUGAAACAUGGGCAAUGGUUGGUGAUAGGAGGCGAGAGAGAAGGGAUUACAGAUGAUGAGGGAGAGUCUCUCUAAUUCCGGGAACUCAGAUUUUAUCACUCAAUAGCACUUACUGUAAGUUUUACUGGGAAAGGUUCAUCUCUUGAACAGAAAGAAUAGAGACAGGAAUUAGCAGUGUUUGUUUAUGUAGCAAUUGAGAGAAAAGCUUGAUUAAGGAGCGAAUGUUAAGGAACAGUGAACAACCAAAUUGCCUCUGUAUAAAACGAUAUUUGGAGCAGACCAUCCAGGGUCAUCCACUAUUGAGAACACAUAUGGGGGAAGAAAAAAAAAAAGGUCCAGUGCUUUACAAGAAAACCAUUUUGAAUUGUUAAAAUAAGUAUAUGAAUACAAUUUUAUUUAAUGAGCGCUUUGUGUUAUGAAAGGCUUCCUUAUAUGUAGCCAAACUCUGUUGAGGGCCCCUCAUCUCCACAGAGGUUUUGGAUGAUACUCUCUAAGUCCAACCCCAGUUUCCAAAGUUUUCACCAUACCAAUGCCGUCCUUCUCUGAUUUCACCCUCAUUUGGGUCACACUUUUCUGUUGGUGUAAUGUAGGGUUAAACAGCACAGACACUGGAGUUAAACUUUCCGGGUAGACUUUUCAGCUUGGACACUAACAGUGUGACUUUGGGUGCUUAUAUUAAAUCAUGUGUGUCUCCCUUCCCUCAUAUGGAUGUAAAGAUAAUCACAGGUCAACAGACGGUGUUGAGGACUAAGUGAGACAGCACAGGUUAAGUGUUGACCCCAGGCCAUCCACGG
rnacentral:lncRNA from 1 species